GGGGCUGAUUCUGGAUUCGACGGGAUUUGCGAAACCCAAGGUGCAUGCCGAGGGGCGGUUGGCCUCGUAAAAAGCCGCAAAAAAAUAGUCGCAAACGACGAAAACUACGCUUUAGCAGCUUAAUAACCUGCUUAGAGCCCUCUCUCCCUAGCCUCCGCUCUUAGGACGGGGAUCAAGAGAGGUCAAACCCAAAAGAGAUCGCGUGGAUGCCUUGCCUGGGGUUGAAGCGUUAAAACGAAUCAGGCUAGUCUGGUAGUGGCGUGUCCGUCCGCAGGUGCCAGGCGAAUGUAAAGACAGACUAAGCAUGUAGUACCUAGGAUGUAGGAAUUUCGGACGCGGGUUCAACUCCCGCCAGCUCCACCA
rnacentral:tmRNA from 2 species